AAGGACUAGACCUUCUUUCUAUCCUUACUCCCCUCAAUGUAUCCAUCUUACCUCUUGAUUUUCCCUCCCAUUCCCUCACAGUUCCUGAAACAGUGCCCCCCCCCGACCCUAAGCGACCCCUUUCUGCCCCUGGCCUUGAGGUCCCUUGACGUGCUGCUCCUGUCUUCUGCUCCUCUAGUGAGCCAUUCCUCUCCCUUGGAAUUCAUCAGAGUCAUCCCUGUAGAGCCCCCUUCCUGCCUCUCAAUUCCUCCUGCCUCACUUCCCAGGCUACUGCUGCUUCAAGACAGUGACGUUUCUCUCCGGUCAGCUGUCAGGAGCGCUGGUGAGCUUCCUACUGUGCCACAAGGUGCGGGUGCUGGAGACACAGCUGAGCCUGGAAAUGAGAGUGGGCAUCGCCGUGGUCAUCAUGACUCCUCUGCGGCGUGGUCACCAUGUUGGUUCACUGUGUUGGGCUCUUAUUGACGGGUCUCCUGCUAGGCCUGACCUUGGGUGCCGGAGCCCUGCUGGCUUCUGAGCCUAUCUACCAACCACCUUCAGCCUGGGUGCCAGCUGGGGGGCUGGUGGGGCUGGCGCUGCUGGGAGCCCUGCUCACACUUCGGUGGCCACGUCCAUUCACAGUUCUGGGCACAACCCUGCUGGGUUCUGCAGUGCUUGUGGCCUGUGUUGACUACUUCCUGGAGGGGCUGGCACUGGGGAGUUGGCUGGGCCAACGCCUGCAGACACUUCCAGCCUUGCCUUCUCUCUGCUGAUAUAGCUGGGUCUUACUGGGGAUCUGGCCAGCCUUGGGGGCCCUUGGAGCCCUGGCCCAGUGGAAGCUCGUGCCUGAGGAACAUGGAGGCCACGCUAAUGAGUUACUUCCAGAGUCUUCAAGAGUGCCAACUGGGACCAGGACCCCAGACCACAGCCCCCCACACCGUCCUGGACCUGGAUUCUGACUGUGGUUCCACUGUACCCCUCACCUUAAUCUCUGGUUCUAACCAGACCUGAGCCUAGACUUCCACUUUUUCCCUUACCCCUGUGAGGGCCUGGGAACACUAGGGUCUGUUCCUGGUUUCCCAGAUGCAUAAAGGAAGACAUAUCCCUCCCCUGGGCAGCAAGGCUACAAUGGGAGGGAGGGAGAACAUGGGAGCAUGUGAAUAAAAUGGCAUUAAAUACUGAACCAGGGAGUCCAGCCUCUGCUGUUGCUGC
rnacentral:lncRNA from 1 species